rnacentral:rRNA from 1 species
GAGCUCAGAACGAACGCUGGCGGCAUGCCUAACACAUGCAAGUCGAACGCUAUCUUGUAUAGAGUGGCGCACGGGUGAGUAACGCGUGGGAACCUACCUUUCUCUGCGGGACAACGGCUGGAAACGGCCGCUAAUACCGCAUACGCCCUACGGGGGAAAGGUCAGCCGGAGAAAGAGGGGCCCGCGUUAGAUUAGCUAGUUGGUGGGGUAAUGGCCUACCAAGGCGACGAUCUAUAGCUGGUCUGAGAGGAUGAUCAGCCACACUGGGACUGAGACACGGCCCAGACCCCUACGGGAGGCAGCAGUGGGGAAUAUUGGACAAUGGGGGCAACCCUGAUCCAGCAAUGCCGCGUGUGUGAUGAAGGCCCUAGGGUUGUAAAGCACUUUCACUGGUGAAGAUGAUGACGGUAACCAGAGAAGAAGCCCCGGCUAACUUCGUGCCAGCAGCCGCGGUAAUACGAAGGGGGCGAGCGUUGUUCGGAAUUACUGGGCGUAAAGGGCGCGUAGGCGGCUCUUUAAGUUAGGCGUGAAAGCCCCGGGCUCAACCUGGGAACUGCGCUUAAGACUGGAGAGCUAGAAAACGGAAGAGGGUAGUGGAAUUCCCAGUGUAGAGGUGAAAUUCGUAGAUAUUGGGAAGAACACCAGUGGCGAAAGCGGCUACCUGGUCCGGAUUUGACGCUGAGGCGCGAAAGCGUGGGGAGCAAACAGGAUUAGAUACCCUGG